rnacentral:lncRNA from 1 species
GGCCGUUCUGCUGGGAAAGAUGAAGCAGGCGGUGGCAGCGCACCGCGGUGGUUGCGGUCUGCUGUACCCUGUUCCGGUAGAUCGAGGAAAGAGAGAGAGAGAGACAGGGCGUGUAGUUAGAGAUAGAAGAGAGGGAGAUGGAGAUGGAGAUGGCGGCCGUGUGGCCGGAGAGGAGAACCAGGCGGCGGCGCAUCGUGGAAGGUGGCUGUCUGCCGCCUUGUUCCGACAGUCUUGAGAGCGAGAGAUGAGUGAUAGAGGCGAGAGGGUAAGAGAGGACGAGAGUUCAAGGGAGGAGAGAGAGGCAGCAGCCGCGCCGCUCGCCGGCGGCGGCGGUGGCGGCCAGGUUGCACGGCAGGCGGACAGAUCGUCCGAGAGAGAGAGUGAGAAAGAAGAGAGAGAGACGAGAAUGAAGGGGGAGGGGCGCA